UGAGAAGUCUCAGGGACUAAUUCUCUCCUGGAGACUGUCUUUUAUACUCACCAGCCAACUUGGAGGACUGCCAGCAGCUCCUCCAAACCCUCUUCACUUCUGCAGAGCAUGAGCAGAUGAGGAGGGAGGUGAUCAAAUCCAUUCCUGGCCCGGACAGGCAACCCACGAUUGACCCAGCCCGAGUAGAGUUUGUCUUCCCCGCCACGCGCCUGGACUGGGACCUGAACGAGUAACGAGGCUCUCAAUCGGUAUCGCCAGACACUGCUAGGAGGCAUCCAGGCUGCGGCCAAAAGGCCAACUAAUUUGUCUGAAUCUGACUUACCUUCCUCGUUAUGGUUUCUUUGGGUGAUUGUAAAAUAAGUUAGCAUGUUUUAAACAGACAGUCACUGAUGACAAAGUGACAAAGACAGAAGUUAUGCUUGACCACAGAGGAUCGUAAGCUUUACUCACGACAGAAAAAUCCACAGGGUCACAAUGCUCCAAGCAGAGCGGACCACCUGGAGUUCCUGGAACGUACAGUGAUUGUUCCCACGUCCUCAGAAUGCCCUUCCUCACCUUCUAUUGCUUGUGGAAUUCUCCUUACCCCUUAAGACUCAAUUCAAAUGUGGAAACAACCCAAGUGUCCAUUGAAAGGUGAAUGGAUAAACAAAAUGUGGUCUAUGCGUACAAUGGGACAUUAUUCAACUUAAAAAGGAAGGGAGUUCUGGCACCUGCUACAACGUGGAUGAACCUUGAGGACAUUCUGCUAAGUGAAAUAAGCCAGACACCG